rnacentral:rRNA from 1 species
AGCGGCGGAUGGGUGAGUAACACGUGGGGAACCUGCCCCUAAGUCUGGGAUACCAUUUGGAAACAGGUGCUAAUACCGGAUAAUAAAGCAGAUCGCAUGAUCAGCUUUUGAAAGGCGGCGUAAGCUGUCGCUAAGGGAUGGCCCCGCGGUGCAUUAGCUAGUUGGUAAGGUAACGGCUUACCAAGGCGACGAUGCAUAGCCGAGUUGAGAGACUGAUCGGCCACAUUGGGACUGAGACACGGCCCAAACUCCUACGGGAGGCAGCAGUAGGGAAUCUUCCACAAUGGACGCAAGUCUGAUGGAGCAACGCCGCGUGAGUGAAGAAGGUUUUCGGAUCGUAAAGCUCUGUUGUUGGUGAAGAAGGAUAGAGGUAGUAACUGGCCUUUAUUUGACGGUAAUCAACCAGAAAGUCACGGCUAACUACGUGCCAGCAGCCGCGGUAAUACGUAGGUGGCAAGCGUUGUCCGGAUUUAUUGGGCGUAAAGCGAGCGCAGGCGGAAAAAUAAGUCUAAUGUGAAAGCCCUCGGCUUAACCGAGGAACUGCAUCGGAAACUGUUUUUCUUGAGUGCAGAUGAGGAGAGUGGAACUCCAUGUGUAGCGGUGGAAUGCGUAGAUAUAUGGAAGAACACCAGUGGCGAAAGGCGGCUCUCUGGUCUGCAACUGACGCUGAGGCUCGAAAGCAUGGGUAGCGAACAGGAUUAGAUACCCUGGUAGUCCAUGCCGUAAACGAUGAGUGCUAAGUGU